rnacentral:rRNA from 1 species
UACAGAGGUCCCAAGCGUUGUUCGGAUUCACUGGGCGUAAAGGGUGCGUAGGUGGUGGGGUAAGUCGGAUGUGAAAUCUCCAAGCUCAACUUGGAAACUGCAUUGGAAACUACCUUGCUAGAGGAUUUGAGGGGGGAUUGGAAUACUUGGUGUAGCAGUGAAAUGCGUAGAUAUCAAGUGGAACACCAGUGGCGAAGGCGAAUCCCUGGAAAAUACCUGACACUGAGGCACGAAAGCUAGGGGAGCAAACAGG